rnacentral:lncRNA from 1 species
GAUAAUCAGAGUAAUCAAGAUAAUCAGGAAAGUAGGUCCGUUACGUAUUUAAAAAUGGAAAUAAAACAAGUAGAGCAAAUCACAAAUAGCCGUGAUAAUGAUGGCGUUGAUACUUCCAAAACGGAUGACGAAAACAAAAACAACAAAAGGGAGAGCGUUAAUGAAAACAAAAGUAGUGAAAAAAAUAAUAUGUUAUUCAAGAACGAUUUAUUUUGUAAGUCUAUUUUUUGCAAUGUUAAAGAUUGGUAUAAUGUAAAUGGCGAGAUAAUAGAAAAAUUAAAUCCUACUUUAAUUAAUAUAGAAAAUAUGGUUGAUAUAUAUUAUUACCAGUAUAUGUUACAUCCUUAUAAUAUACCAUAUUAUGACAAUUUAUAUAAUGAAAUAUAUAAUUAUAUGCAAAAAUUUAAAAGCGACAACAUGAAUGAUAAUUCCACUGUGAAUGAUGAGCGGGAUAUUGAUUGCAGUAAGAAUGAAAAUGAAACAAAAACUGAAACAAUCACAAAUACAAGUAGCAUUGAAAAUAGCAGCAUCGACUCUAACUUGGUUUAUAAGCUAGUAGAAAAGUUACCAGACGAAUACUAUGCACAUGUAGAUGUACUUAUAAAAGAAAUAUUAAAAAUAAGAGAUUUAAUAUAUAGAAAUAGUUACCUUAGAUAUAUAUUUUAUUAUAUAUAUAAAAAUAGUAAUAAUAAUGUAUAUUAUUCUAUUAAUCAUGUAUUAACAACAGAAAUAAAAAAAAUAAGGUUAUACAAAAUGCAAAUGAAGAUGCGAUAUAACAUAUUCAUUUCACGUUUCAUAGGAAGUAACUUUAACACAAACAAUAGUAACAAUACCAGCUUUAACAACAGCAUCAACAACAGCAUCAACAACAGCAUUAACAACAAUGAAAUUAAUAGUAACAACCAGAACAAUAGUAGAAACAAUAAAAAAAAUAGGAAGAACAAUGGUGACAAUAAACGUAAAAGAUUCCAUAAUAAUAAUUUGUGUCAGAAAAAUGUUAAUGAACUUAACUUAUCACAGGUAAAACAUAAAUUAUCUAAUUUGCUUUUUUCUAAAUAUAAUAAAUAUUAUAAAGAACGCACAAAUGAAAAUGAAAAUAUAAAAAACCUGAAACAUACAGCUUUAAAUGUUGAAGUAGAUAAUUUAUCUAGCUUUAAAAAAAGAUUAUCAAUAUAUAGUGAUUAUUUGAGUAAAAUGAAAAAAAAAUUAUCUACUGAAAAUGAAACCUUUGUGGAAAAAGGAAUGCUUACGGAAACUAACGCCAAUAUAGAGACAAACGAGAUAAAACAUAAACAAGAACAAGAAUACCAACAGCAACAUUACAAACCAGAUAAACUAAAUUUUAAUGUUCCUUACAGUUAUAUUCAAUUUUUAUUUAAUAAAAAUGAAGUCAUGUUUAUAAUAGGGGAAAAAGGAAAUUCAAGAAAAUAUAAAGCAGCAUAUAUUAUUAAUAAUAGUAAUGUAGAUGAAAAUGAAAACUUAUUAAUUAUAACAUCAAUAGUAAACACACACAAAUGGAAAAGUUUAUUUCCUACUUAUAAAUAUGUUACAAUAUAUAAUAGUGAAGAACGUUUAUUACAAGAUAAAAUACAAAAUAUGCAAUCGAAUUUAAUUAUAUGUAUAGAUUUUUUACCAAAAAUAUUAAAUAUUUCAUGUAAUCAAAUAAUACUCGACAUGUGUCAUUUUAAUUUAUUUAAACAAAUUAAUAUAUUUAAUGACCUACGAUUACUAAAUUUUAACAAACGAAUAUUAAUUUUCAAUAAAAUAUUAAAUGAUUGGAAUUUAUUACUGUCACUCUUUUACUUAAGUAGUUCGUUUUUAGAUACCUCUAUGGUGAAUCAGAUACAAUUAUGUUGCAAUUAUGAUUGUACUUGUGAUGAAAACAACACAGACAUAAAUAAUAGCAACAAAAAUUGCAACGCAAGCAAACAAAAAUGUAAUAAAAAAAAAUUAAGUAACAUAAUGCAAAACUUCCUUAAAAAUUUUUAUAUUUUUUAUAAAAUGGACGUUUCAUUACUUCAUGAUAAUAACACGGACAUUAUCAAUUAUGACAAUACCGAAAUAUGCACUAGCACAAGUGAAGGUGGUAAGACAAAUAUCGUUUGUGAUAGUGAUAAUACCAACAACACUGUCGAAAAUACAAGUAUCAGUAAUACCAUUAGUAAUAGUAACAGUAAUAGAAGUAAUAAAACAUAUUUUAUUAUAACAUACAUUAGUGGAAUACAAAAAUGCAUUUAUGAUAAUGUUCAGGAAGAAUAUAAAAAUUAUACAUGUAUACAUCCAUUAUUACUAUUAGAGGAACAAGAAUUUUAUUUAAAAGAUUUUAACAUUUCUGAAAAGUUUGAUUUACUUAAAGAUAUAAUAAAAAAAUUUACUUAUAUAAAAAAAAAAAUACUUAUUUGUUAUUCAGGAGAUGAAAAAAUAGAAAGAUUAAUUAAAAUGUUAAUAUACCUGAACGAAUUAAAUAGUAUCUUAAUUAUGUUUUAUAACAUUUUGAACACAAAUGGAAAUGAUACUGUUGACAUAACCAAUAUUGAUGUAGCAAUAAUAAUAAAUAAACACGAUGAUUACUUAACAAUUUUUGAAAAUAAAAAUAUACAUUGUUAUUAUUUAAUUACAGUUUUUACUAAUGAAGAAAAAAUAAUAGCUGAGAAAUACAAAAACAAAAAAGAAUAUAUUUGUUUUAACAAAAAUAAACAGCAAUUUAUGAAGUUCAACAAAAAUACAAGAAAUGAAAUAUAUAAAUAUUAUAUAAAUAAUAUAUUAUCACAAACAGAUGAACAAUUUUUGUUAUUCAACAUUAUUGACCAAAAAGAAAGAACAUAUUGUAACAGCCCAUAUAAUGAAAUAGUUUUACCCACGUGUUUUAUGCAUCUGUUUCCUGAUCACGAAACAGCACUUCGUUAUUUAAAACACUGGAAAAAUAUAAAAAAUGCUCACAGUUUUUGGAAUAUCAACAAUUUCAACAAAGAUAAAAUUAGCUUUUAUCUGGAUUCACAAAAUACUAUAUAUGAUAAAUACACAAACGAAAUAUGCAACGUUUCGUUAGAUUCAAUUGCACCCCCACAAUUUUUAUACUAUUUGGAUAACCCGAUAAACGUAAAAAGCACAUUCAAUGCUUGUAUGUCUAUGGCAUUAGACGAAAUAAUUCAAGAAAUAGAAAAUAAAAAAAACUUAGAUGAAUUUGAUGAAAAACAAAAAAAUACUUUAUUAAUUAUUAAAGAAAAAGCAAAUAAAAAGUAUUUUUCCUCCAUACGAAAAAUGGAAAAAAUACUAUCAAAAUUUUUAAAUGAAAAUAAGAAAAUGUCCUUUGAUUUUUUCCUAAGGGGAUGUGAAAGCUAUGGACAUGUACUAAUGAAAUGUAAAGAAAAAUUAUUUGUAACGUUUAACAAAACAUACGGCUUACAUUUUAAAAACUUCGAAGAUUUUUGGCUUCAUGAAGAAGAAAAAAGGAAAGAAAAAUGGAAAGAACUAUGGAUAUUAAAUGAAAUAGAAAAAAAAAAUGUGUCACUUCAUAAAAAUGGUGAUGACUUAAAUACUGCAUCAAAUAAUUAUUACAAUGAAAAUAACAAUAAUAAUAAUAAUAAUAACACUAGUAACAGUAAUAACAAUUGUGACCUUAGCAACAAUAACACAAAUAAUAUUUUUAAUAAAAACACAAAUGAAGACGACAUACACGACAAAAAAAACUUUCGCAUAAGACUUUCAUCGCAGUUAGUUGAAAAUGAACACAACAAUAACUACGUUGAAAACGAAAAUGUAUGUAUUAAUACUGAAAAUAAUAUGGAAAUAAAUAAUAACACUAUUUCUUGUCAAGAGGAAAAAGAAAGUGACAAAAAAACACAUGUCUAUAAAGAAUGUAGGGAUGACACUAAUACUUAA